GACGAACGCGGCGGCGUGCCUAAUACAUGCAAGUAGAACGCUGAAGGAGGAGCUUGCUCUUCUGGAUGAGUUGCGAACGGGUGAGUAACGCGUAGGUAACCUGCCUGGUAGCGGGGGAUAACUAUUGGAAACGAUAGCUAAUACCGCAUAACAUUGACUAUUGCUGAUAGUUAAUUGAAAGGUGCAAAUGCACCACUACCAGAUGGACCUGCGUUGUAUUAGCUAGUUGGUGGGGUAACGGCUCACCAAGGCGACGAUACAUAGCCGACCUGAGAGGGUGAUCGGCCACACUGGGACUGAGACACGGCCCAGACUCCUACGGGAGGCAGCAGUAGGGAAUCUUCGGCAAUGGACGGAAGUCUGACCGAGCAACGCCGCGUGAGUGAAGAAGGUUUUCGGAUCGUAAAGCUCUGUUGUAAGAGAAGAACGAGUGUGAGAAGUGGAAAGUUUCAAC
rnacentral:rRNA from 1 species